GACGAACGCUGGCGGCGUGCUUAACACAUGCAAGUCGAACGGAAAGGCCCUGCUUUUGUGGGGUGCUCGAGUGGCGAACGGGUGAGUAACACGUGAGUAACCUGCCCUUGACUUUGGGAUAACUUCAGGAAACUGGGGCUAAUACCGGAUAGGAGCUCCUGCUGCAUGGUGGGGGUUGGAAAGUUUCGGCGGUUGGGGAUGGACUCGCGGCUUAUCAGCUGGUGGUGGGGUAGUGGCUUACCAAGGCUUUGACGGGUAGCCGGCCUGAGAGGGUGACCGGCCACAUUGGGACUGAGAUACGGCCCAGACUCCUACGGGAGGCAGCAGUGGGGAAUAUUGCACAAUGGGCGGAAGCCUGAUGCAGCAACGCCGCGUGCGGGAUGACGGCCUUCGGGUUGUAAACCGCUUUCGCCUGUGACGAAGCGUGAGUGACGGUAAUGGGUAAAGAAGCACCGGCUAACUACGUG
rnacentral:rRNA from 1 species